CGACAAUUCCCAUACCCCUGAAGUUACAGUGGGUUAGAACAGAGUUACUUGAAAAAAAAAGAAGCACUAAAGAGGUUAAGAUUCUACAAGACCAGACAAGUUUGACCCUUUUUAAAGUCUUCGCUUCAUUCUCGUUACACAACAAUGAGAAAAGAGGGGCAUCUGUAAAUGCCCAAAUUUGCCUGGGCCCAAAAAAAAUAAACCAAGAAAUAGAAUAAAAAAUAUUAAGUCCAAAAAAUUUACAACCCCAAAAGAACAAUUAUUACAAACCCAAAAUACAAAACCCUAGCCCAAAAGUUACAAGCCCAUAACCUAAACUAAUUCAGAAACCCUAAGUUCCCCAUGUACGCCGCAC
rnacentral:lncRNA from 1 species